rnacentral:rRNA from 1 species
GACGAACGCUGGCGGCGUGCUUAACACAUGCAAGUCGAACGAUGAAGCCUAGCUUGCUGGGUGGCUUAGUGGCGAACGGGUGAGUAAUACGUGAGUAACCUACUUUAACUCUGGGAUAAGCCUGGGAAACUGGGUCUAAUACCGGAUACGACCAAUCUCCGCAUGGGGUGUUGGUGGAAAGCGUUAUGUAGUGGUUAUAGAUGGGCUCACGGCCUAUCAGCUUGUUGGUGAGGUAACGGCUCACCAAGGCGACGACGGGUAGCCGGCCUGAGAGGGUGACCGGCCACACUGGGACUGAGACACGGCCCAGACUCCUACGGGAGGCAGCAGUGGGGAAUAUUGCACAAUGGGCGCAAGCCUGAUGCAGCGACGCCGCGUGAGGGAUGACGGCCUUCGGGUUGUAAACCUCUGUUAGCAGGGAAGAAGAGAGAUUGACGGUACCUGCAGAGAAAGCGCCGGCUAACUACGUG